rnacentral:rRNA from 1 species
GACGAACGCUGGCGGCGUGCUUAACACAUGCAAGUCGAACGGGCCCGCUCUCUUUUUUGGGGGUGGGUUGAGUGGCGAACGGGUGAGUAUCACGUGAGUAACCUGCCCCCUGCUCCUGGAUAACUGCUUGAAAGGGCGGCUAAUACGGGGUGUGCCGGCUGGUCCGCAUGGGCCUGGUCGGGAUAGUUUCAUCUUCGGGUGUUUCGGUGGGGGAUGGGCUCGCGGCCUAUCAGCUUGUUGGUGGGGUGAUGGCCCACCAAGGCGGUGACGGGUAGCCGGCCUGAGAGGGUGGGCGGCCACACUGGGACUGAGCCACGGCCCAGACUCCUGCGGGAGGCAGCAGUGGGGGGUAUUGCGCAAUGGGCGGAAGCCUGAUGCAGCGACGUCGCGUGAGGGAUGGAGGCCUUCGGGUUGUGAACCUCUUUCUCCGGUGGUGAAGGCCCUGUCCGUUGCGGCGGGGUUGACGGUAGCCGGGUAUGAAGCGCCGGCUAACUACGUG